CAGUUUGUGGACAAAGUCCUGCCUAUCUGACAAUAUAGAUCUCCGACCACUGACCAAACUCCACUCCAAGCAGUCCCAAGGGCUGCGUUCCUUCCCCUUCCCCACACGUGUCUCUGCUCUGCCAGGAUCUCCCCACCAUUUCUGCCCCACAGCAGUGCACUCCAAUGUGCUGGACGUGGAUUUUGUGCCUUUCAGCCCUCACUUCAGCAUCUUCCUUCCUGAAGGUGGAAUGGGAACGGCCGUCUGUAGCGACCAGGAGUGUGACUGGAUGACCAGGGCUGUCCCUGAUGUCCUCAAUCUUACAAAACAACGUCCAGAGGAGCAAACAGGAGCAGCCACCACCAGGAGCUCACUGGUGGCACCUGCAGCCUAUGGACACCACAGCAGUCACCUCUGCAACACUCCUGCUUACUGCCAUGGAAAUGAAAGGCUGCAGCAGCAUGCAAGAAAACACCAUCACAUUCUCAAGCAGAGCUGAGGACAAGGUGUGCUGCUGCCCUGGAGCUGAGGAAGAGGCACUUCUCAGUGUGCUGGGAGCAUCCUCAGCUCUGCAAUGUCCAGAGCAACCUCCACCAGGCUCCAGCAAGCAGCUCUCCAGUUCCAACCAAGGCAGCUUUUCACACCAGAUCAUCCCUUUUGCUUCCUACCAGCGCUUGCUGUGUGAUCCUGCUUAGCUGCUUCUGGUUCCUGUAAACACCGACCCCCCCAGCGCUGACAUUAUGACCACCGUGAGCCAAAAGCAGUCCCAGCACAUGGCAGACCCUGCAGCCCUCGUGCAAUGGACAAGGAAUAAACAGAGCAGAAACUGUUCACCGUGUCUGACCAAAAUGCCUGAGCAGCUCUGACGUCUUGCAUUUUUCAGCUGGUUUCCAAAGCUGCUUUGCUGAGCUCGCCCCAAUUGUGCACUGCUGCCUGCUGAAAGCACCAGGGCAAGGCAUCCCUGGAACUGCAAGCUGCUACCAAAGUAAGUUGGAGUGGUGCUGGCUGUGCUGGUGUUCAGGGCUAUUGCCCUGUUUGCUGCUGUCUCAUCAGGAGAAGGAUAAAAGCAGAGAGAAGAGUUGCUGCAUCCUGAGCAUGCCCACACCCUCUCUGUCCUGCAGCCCCUGGCAGGUGCUGUUGAGGAUGCUGAACAUGCCCCAGCCCUGCCAGCCCUUUCUCCACCUCUAUUUGGAUAACUUUUUCACCCCUUUACUUUAUGAGGACUCCCCUCCUUCUGCCAACAGUCUGAGUCUCCUCUUGCUGCAGCCUGGGAGGCCUGUCUUUCUCUUUUAUUAUUAUUUUUCUAUCUCCCCCUCGCGAGGCCCCAGCUCGGCAGCCCGGCCCCAGGACAGACGUGCGAGCUGUGUCUGCAUGGAGCACGCCUUUGUUUGUGCACCGAAACAGAUGGGGAGAGGGCACACACAGGUGGGAUGUGCAGAGAUCCUUCCCAAGCUGCCCCACAGCACCUGGCUCACCCCAUGGCCAUCCCUCAGUCCGGUCCCCUGUCAGUGUGUACCUGCCUAUGCUUGAGAUUGCCAAUGUACCAGGGCUGGCAAACAGCAGCUCACCCAGAGCCAGAAGCAAACGGAUGUCACAACUUAACUGUAAGUGAUCCAACAGCUUGUUCAGCUCCUUGAGGAUCAGCAGCCUGCAGGGGCUGUCUCUCGCUGCAGAAAUGUGGAUGUCUCUGUACUGCAGGGCAGGUGACACUCUGGUUUGGGGACACCCAGACCUGCCACCUCACUCUGUGCUGUCACAUCCCCUGGCUGUGACAUCCAAGUCCUUCUGCUGAAAUGAGCAUGAGCAUCCUAUUGCACUGUGACCCCAGGGGCAGAGCCCCUUCCUCUCCCAUGGGCACCCAGCCUUCCUUUUGCUCACUCACAGUUUUCAUUGCAUGUCUCCUUGCACACUACCAAAGCAGUGCCAGCUGGACGCACCAUCACCAGCUGCACCAACCAGACAGAAAGCUGAGCAUUUCUCUGAGCCUGCUUUUAUGUGAGAGCUCCCAGCCUGCUGCUGGCUCCUGUGGGACGGCAGCAGCCCCAGCGCUCCUGCAUGCUGAGGACUUACAAAGAAAUGAGCAACAUGGCAGAAAUGAGUAAACCAAAGGGCUUCACAGCUGUUACAUUUCUCCUGUUCUCUGUAGCUCUGCACACCGUGCUCAGCCCAGUUUAACCCAGGGCUGCUAGUGCAUAUCCUGUGCAAUUCCUACACAUUUCCAUUGAGAUGGGCCACCACCACCACCACACUCCACUGCAUGAGCUCCAGCACGGGGCUGAGUUAGGGCUGUCCCUGAAGCAGGGAUAUCCCCAGUCUUCCCUUUGGAGAUGCAGGGAGUGAGGCUAAGCAUCCUCAGGUCUGGAACCAGAAGCACCAGCACCCAAAACAUGGCCAUGAGCAACCACAGGCUGGUGGGGCUGUGUGCUUGGGAAGGGCAUGGGGCAAGGGAGAGGAGGAGCAGAAUGCCAAAGUAGAGCAAGGAGAGGCAAGGUGGUGUGAUGGAAAGGCAUAGAGAUGUGAUGGAAAGCUGUGGGGAUGUGGUAGAGAGCCACGAGGAAGUGCUAAGAGAGCCACAGAGAUGUGAUAAGAGAACACUGGAGGUGUGACAGAGAGCACUGUAACUACGAGACCUCAUCUGCUGGGCUCUUGCUCUGCACCCUGGGGUCUGGGAUUCCUGGGUCACACAGGUCUGUACCAGCCAUGGCCCCUCAGCUCCCAGGGAAGCUGCAGCACAGGUGCUUUUGAAUGCAGUGGUUAUCAGCAGGGUGAUGACAACCUUGGCAGGGGCUUCUCUCCCCUGGUGUCCACGUGCAUUUGUUGGCAGUUGGCAUCCAGCCCAGCAAUUGAGAGCAGCAGCCAGGGGCUGCCCUGGUACCUGGGGCAGAGCGUGCUGCCUGGUGCCUUGCACCACAGAGCCUCAAAGCUGCCGUUUUCUCAGGCACUAAAAUCCGCUCUGGGAGCCCUCCUCAGCAUCACCCCAUCCCAUCCCUUUGCACCAUCCCUGCUCCCACAGCCAGGGCACACUGCAGAACACACAGCUUUUACCUCCAGGCUGGCUUUGUGACCUGGGGCAGCACACCAACUGCUUGCAGACUGCAUGACUUGUGCUGAGAACCCUCUCCUUAUCCAGGGCAAGCAGCCCCUCUGCAAGCAAGUCAGCCUCGCUCCGCUCCCUCCAAGCACCUUCCUUCUUCAAGCCCAGCAGAGUGAAA